rnacentral:sRNA from 1 species
AUUGUAUCUUUAGUAGGGCACACAGCUGUUCAAGCAAGCAUUCAGAUUGAAGGAGAUUUAUCGCUUAAGCCAGCUGCCAGCACACACAGGUCUCCAAGCACCUCCUUCCAUUGGUAGCUCCUUGGGCCAGAGAAUUGGAAUCCAUUAGCCUUUAUUCGCUCAAGAAAUAUCCCGCCUGAAUGUGCCCCAAAACGUGGGCUGCAACGAAAAUCAACCCAUCAAUCAGUCAUUUUCCGAACCGACCCUGAAGUCGGAAAAUAAUCGACAGAACAGAACAGAACAAGGCAGAACCGAUUGAACAAUUUGCCAAUUUGCACUCUUGAAUCGAUUUCCAAUUUGAUUGCACUUUGAUUUUCAUUCGGAUCUAGCGAGUAUUCACAUUUUUUGUGGCACCGCACAGGCGCCACAGCCUCAGCCACAGCCACUAAAUUUAUGCAUAAAUUCGCACACAAAAAAAAAACAAGAAAUAAAAUCUGAAAUAUUUGCUGUUUUUCAGAUUUUGUGGAAUUCUCGCGCAAAUUCUUAGGAAAUCGCGUAAAAGCGUUAACCGCAAAGAAAUCGAAUGAACAAAAUUAAGAAACCGAGGCAAAUACACUGCAAGAAAUCGCCAAAAGUGCGGAUACUUAAUCUACCCACUCCCUGCCCAAAAGGUGUCCAAAAGAGUUGCAAAAUCCAUUCAUUUCAAUCGGUUUAAGAGUGUCGCGACGUGCCUGAUUCUCAUGGCAAAUAAAUGAACCGAAUCAUGGUUUGAAUCGUUCAUAAA